AGCUUCCGCUCCCAGUCACGGUCAGAACAGAGGGGUCAGGAGGCACGGGCGGAAGGGCAGCGGGAAGAUAUCCUGAAUGUAGAAAGAAUUUCCCAGCCAUCAGGCUGAAGGACUCUGUACCCUGAGCAACCCAACAGUCAAGACUGAGGCCCAGCUGCAGGCCACUACUCUGAGCUUCACGCCCAGGGCCUGGCCCAGGGCCCCCAUGCCAUAGAGCCUCACUGCCUAUGAUGAAUAUGGAAUGAGCCAGCACCACACUGUGUCACUGUGGGUACCUGUACACAGGCUGUGACCACCUUUCUGCCUUUCCGACCACUCAGAUGCACAGGAGCUGAAGAAGGCAGAGGACCUGGGUUCAAUUCCCAGCUUCUACGUGACAGGUCACAACUGUCUGUAACUUCUGGUUGGCGUUCACAGGCUCUGCAUGUAUGGAGUGCACAGGCAUAUAUACAGAGCAUAUGGCGUGAUCCAGCCCCACCCUGUCCUGUACAAAUACUCCCUGGAGGGGAGGCAGUCUCAGCCUUCCUGUCCCUACUCUACACUCUCAGGUGUUCCGUGUGUCGCUUCCUGCUAUUACCCUGUGAAGAUGCAUCCAGGU